rnacentral:rRNA from 1 species
UACGUAGGGGGCAAGCGUUGUCCGGAUUUAUUGCGCGUAAAGAGCGUGUAGGCGGCUUGGAAGGUCAGCUGUGAAAACUCGAGGCUCAACCUCGAGACGUCGGUUGAAACCACCUGGCUAGAGUCCGGAAGAGGAGAGUGGAAUUCCCGGUGUAGCGGUGAAAUGCGCAGAUAUCGGGAAGAACACCCGUGGCGAAGGCGGCUCUCUGGGACGGUACUGACGCUGAGACGCGAAAGCGUGGGGAGCGAACAGG